AACGAUCACUAUAUCUGAUUCUUAAUGGAAAUAAAUUUUUGUUCAUUAAUUCGUUUUUUUAAUCUUUGAUUAGAUGAGAUUAUACUCGUAGAUGAAUGUUCUCAACGGGGACAGUGGGUCGACAAUCUGUAAACGUUUCUCAACUUUGCCGUGACUACAUAUGAAGUGUACAAAUACUAAUAUUAUUGUGUCUUAGCCGCAUUUCGUCCUCAAUUUCACUUAAGUACACAAUAUUAAUGCUUGUGCAAAACCUGAAUACUUUUUAUACUCGUAGAAUAUUAUGAUUAGAUUAUUUAAUGUAGUAGAAUAGAGUAUCUUUUACAUCUCUGUUGAAAAAACUAUAUCCGAAUUUUAUAUAAUAUUUAUGUAUUGUUUAUGGUCCAAAGAUUGAAUGCUGAAUGUUAAUUAAGCUUUGUAUUACAAUUAGCCAAUUCAUAGAAAAUGGAUCCAUCCAAGGAUAUAUUGAGCAAUAUUAACAAUAUUAACAGUAUUAUCAAAAUAGAAAAAUUACAAAAAUAUUAUAAUACAUUUAAUACAGAAUUAAAACAUGCUGAUAUUGUAAUAUAUAUACGUACACACAUAUUUAUAACUUUUUCUUAAUAAUUUUUUUUCAUUACAAUAGUAAUAUGAAACAUUCGCACAUAUCUACAAUAAUUCUUCUUUUUCUAUAUAUUUUUAUUAAAAAUAUCAAUUUCCAUAACUGACAAUAAAUAAUAUCUUUAUUUUCAGAUUAACUUUAAAGUCUGCAUGAACACUUGGAUACCCAUACGUUUCACCACAGAUAUGUUCCCAUCGUAACACCUCAUAAUGAUUUGGGGACUGGAGAAUCCUCUAAUUAUGACGACGCGGAUCUAAUGGAAACUGAUUGCGUUACGUGGACAGGACAACGUGACGUUUUUUUUUCUUAAUCCAACAUUAAUCGUUGCUCGUUGAAGUAACCGUUCAAAUAAAUUGACCCGCAGGAAUUCCGGUCGCUUUAACGAGCGAGUUAGGGGGUAGAUCAAUUAAACGUUAUGAAACGAUGCCGUUCCUUUGCCAGGCGUGUAUCCGUCAUGUCCAUGACAAGGAUUUACCUUGACAUGCCAGACGUUCAUGACCAACGCAUUUUAUUUCUUUUUUUCUCCUUGACAUAUUGAUCAAACGUUCUACUUUGUUUGUUGCGUUGUAAUUUAUCCGGUAAGGAUAUAAGACUAUCAACAUUUAAAUGUAUCAUCUUUAAACUGUCACUUAACUCCGAUAACGCAAAAUUAAUUUCCAUUCAUGAUUGCAUUUUUAUUUAUACUAAUUAAAACCAAUUGUUACAUUUAUCAAUAUUUAUUAACUGUAUACAGUUGCCUGGGAUAAGAUUAGAAGCAAAAAUUGGAUUAAAGAACUUCGUUUAAAGUACCAAGACAUACCCAAGUACUUACGCAUCUAUCAGUAUGGAAGAUUACAGUUCAGUUCAGUUCAAGAUGUUUAUUGAGAGAUAGAGAAAUUAUUUUUAGAAUAGCAAGAUACUACAAGAUAAAUGACAAUUGAAGGUAUUAAUAAAUAUGACUACGUGCAUUUGCAUGUCCAUCAACAAUCAUCUUCUUAAGCUGGCAAGGCAAUCAGACCAGAGAAGGUCCAUGAAUCAAUCCUUGUGUACAUCAAAUUGAUCUAGUCCCCUUUGUAUUUUUGUGUAAUUUACUUUGUAACUUAAAUAAUGUAAUAUUCAUAUAUGUCAUAGCAAAAUACAUGAGUUUUUUUGCCACGUACUUCUUUUAUACUUCUUUAAUAUCAUCUACAGGCCAAUGACGAUUCUAUCGACACUAUCACCAUCAAACCAUUCACGCAAUAGAAUAAUACUCAUUGCAGCGAGACAAUGCAAAAGCACUUACUGUCGAUUUACAAAAAUCGAAACGUCCAAAUCAAAAGCGUCCACUAGACACUGUAGCGAAGAUCUCAAGUUCUCCGGAUCACAUCUAGAUCUAUUCAAACCCCGUAAAAAAUCGAAAACUUCUACAUUAUAUAAAAAUAAAAAUUCAAACUUAACAUGUACAUAAAAUUGCAAAUUUCUCUAUUAAAAAACGCACAAUCUUCUUUUAGCUUCGAGAAGUAGAAGAAAAUCUUGAAUAGAGGAUCGCGAGCAGAGGAUCACUCGAUAUCUAAGGUUUGAAAUCGAGGAAAGAACACCCGAAGUAGUGACUUGGAGGAUCGCCGAUCGACUAAUGCUGCUUCACCUUUCUAGAGAAUCGCUUUCAAAGAUCGUUCCAAGGACGACAAUCAUCGUAAGGUCGCUGGUAGAUAAGGAACAAAGACCGAAUCGUUUUGAAGGCUCCGCAUCCACUGCCCUUCUCCCUGACGCGUCGAAAUCGCGAAGGAGAUCGAAAAAUAAAAGCGGAGAUGAGACGCUGGAAGACGAGGGCGAUGAACGAACUUGCGAAUCCCUGUUGCGAGUCAUUAGAAACUUAAUACUUAAAUGAUUUUAAAUGGCUUUUAAGUAACCUUCGGAGAUUGACGUGAAUGUAAAUUAUCGUUUUCUGUGCCUACGUUCUUUAUUUGUCUAUGCAAAGAAGAAUAUGAAACGUGGAAAGACCUUUAGAUACUUUGUAUGUUGUUGUUUACAGAAAUUAAUUGUCAGAUAGGCCAAAGACGAUCGAAUUAAAUACGUGACGAACUUUCCGAACGACUUAAUAAUUGGAUCGAAGUCAGUGAUUUUUAGUGAAGUCAUUCAAUUUUAUUCUAUUUUAUUAUUGAUUUUAAAAAUUGUUCAUCCUAUCUUGUCAAUUAUAUCGGUAUAGGACCAUUUUUUGCACUAUAUAUAAUAUAUGAUUAAAACGGAUAUUUAUGUUGUAUCAUUCUAACUGCUAAAUUCAUUUCCAGAUUAAUUUGGAACAUGACCAAUGUCUCGUUACAAUGCUGAUGAUAUUUCAAAAUAUUUUAUACGACACGUACGAUAUGCACAUAAAAAUUUUAUACUGUAAGUGUGGAAAUAUCUUCAUGAGCCACUGUAAGUAAUAACGUCAAAUGGAUAAAUCGACGAGGAUUGGUAUCAUUCAACGACACAGUCCAUUCGAUCGACAGAAAUUUAAUCUAAUUAGCGCGAUUAGACCGUCCCAGUUCAGACAGUCGAGCGAAAUCCUACGAGCCUCACGCGAGAAUCAUCAACCCUAUAUAGCGAAAUUGAGCCGGAAUCUGGGUCAGCCGGUCUCGUUGACGAACUUGUCUCUUGAACCUGCGCCAAUUCACACCGAAUAGCUCUAUGAUCAACUGGCUAUAAACAUUACUAAGGAUUACAACAGAAAUUGUGCAUUUACAAAAUUAAAUGGAAAAAAAAUCGUAACAUAAUAACCGUUCACUUAUUAAUUAUAACCCAAUUAGAAAGAAGACGUGCAAAUAAUUCUCCAUCCACAAAAGCAAAUGUCAAGGAAUUUACUCUAUUGCUCAGAAGUAUUUGGAUUGCAUAUUUUUGUCAAAAUUGAAGUAUUGCUUUUGUCCUUUAGUUUCUCAUUAAUUUAUACAUUUUAUUAACAUUUAUGUACUGUUGCUAUAAAAGUAUCCAGCUACUUAUGAGCAACAGUGUAUUUAGGAAAACCUACCCUGCCUCCAC